rnacentral:rRNA from 1 species
AUUGAACGCUGGCGGCAGGCCUAACACAUGCAAGUCGAACGAGUCGCGCACGUGUGAGUAAUGUGUGGGAAACUGCCUGAUGGAGGGGGAACAAUUGUGAAAACUGUCUCAAAUACCGCAUAACCUCGGGUGCGCCCAGAUGGGAUUAGCUAGUAGGUGGGGUAAAGGCUCACCUAGGCGACGCUCCCUAGCUGGUCUGAGAGGAUGACCAGCCACACUGGAACUGAGACACGGUCCAGACUCCUACGGGAGGCAGCAGUGGGGAAUAUUGCACAAUGGGCGCAAGCCUGAUACAGCCAUGCCGCGUGUAUGAAGAAGGCCUUCGGGUUGUAAAGUACUUUCAGCGGGGAGGCGUUACCCGCAGAAGAAGCACCGGCUAACUCCGUGCCAGCAGCCGCGGUAAUAC